CUGGGCCAGACCCCACCACCUCGGGGUCCUUGGGUUCUCGGAGUGGGGUGGGGACCAGGCUCCAGCGUGGGCAGAAGCGGGAGGCGGUUCCUGGUGACUCAGAACUUGCUUUUGUCCCUCUGUGAGAUUCACAGGGAAAAAACAAAGCACCGGGCAAUUAACCGGAGCAAGUCGGGUGAGUGGGGAGGGACAGGCAGGCCCAGAGGCCCCCACUCUGACACCUCACCCACCUGGCAAUUGGGAGGGCCCCACCCCGGGGUCAGGAGCACUCACGUGACCAGGGUGCCAGGGCCCCUGGGGGGCGGGGCCUGAGCUCUGCCCCUCACCCCAAAUGGGCCCUGCCCCCUCACCCUCAUCUGGCCUCCUUCCAGCUACCCACACACGUAUGCCCUCUCCCUGCCGCCUCAUCCUCCCAUGCCUAGGGGCUCCGCUCCUUUCCAGGACCAGUGCCACUUCCACACUUGUGUGCCCGGAACUUCCGGCUCUGCACACACGUCUGUGCCGCUGCCCCCCACUCCCCAGCGUGUGCCCGGGCCUCACGUGUGUGCCCAACUUGCUGCCAGCCCAGCACUGAGUCAGGGCGUGCCUGCCCGCCUCUGGCACCCGGAGUAGACGAGUAGACGGGUGUCUCUAAAGGGAACUUCAUUGUCUGUUUCAAAUUCAUUUGCACUUAACUCAUCUAGAAGUUUUGCAAGAGCUGUUUGAAGUCCAAGGAGCCCUGAGCACCCUCUCCACCUCUCCCCACCCUUGUAAUGAGCCCUUUAACCCUUAGAGACCCAGAGCUGCCUCUGGGCCUGAGUCAAAGGCUCUGCUGUCCCCUCCCCUCCUGCGCGUGGGAGCGAGCUUAGGACUGGGUAGGAGGCGGGAGUGGCAUGGGGUGGGUGAGGCUCUGUCCAGCUUGCCCCCUCC
rnacentral:lncRNA from 1 species